CAACUAUGCACAUUGAUUAACAGAAUCCCUCGCUUUUCAAACAAAAGCAAACUAUGGACAUUGAUUAACAGAAUCCUCGCUUUUCAAACAAAAGCCUCAAGUAAAACCAAAAGAACUUAAAUUCUUCCCAAUGAGAACCGUCUUGGCAUUGAAACCGGACGCUGUUUAAAUCCACCCAUUAAACCAUCAUUCUUCUGUACACUUUUCCUGCUCUUCAAUGGAGAUACCAAUCUGUUAGCCAAUCUUGAAGGAGAAAAUGACCUACGCAAUUUUGAAGCAGUGGACACCUUUGGAGAUUUCUUGCUCGAGUUUGCAGCUCUAGUAGGUGAUUUCUUGCUCAAGUUUGCAGCUCCAGUAGGUGACAGGGAAACCAAUGGUGGGCUCUUGAUCUUCACUUGAAGCUUGGAAGCCGAAGGUGGGGACUUUAUCAAGAACUUAUGUGGAGAGUUCAGUUCUUUUCUAGAAAUCUG
rnacentral:misc_RNA from 1 species